rnacentral:lncRNA from 1 species
GAGUGUUCGUGAAAUUCUCUCGGAGGGUUGAUAGAAGACAGCUCUAAGCAAACUUAAAUCGUUAAAAUCACAUGGAUGGUCCUUUAGUUUGAUUUUAGGAAGAGAUAAUUCAAGCAGACACUGAUGUAUUGAUUCUUUUCAGAUUGCUUUCAAGGGUUUCAAUGAAGAUUGGGCAAAAGGGUGAUUUGGAAACUGUGUGAGGUAUUUUUCUUAUUCCUCCAUCUACUUUCUGUGUUUUUACUACACCAGCUGUACGGAAUUAUAGCUUGCUUUUCGUCUAUCGAAGAAUUUAGCCUUUUGUUGUGUUUGGUAUAAUACGUUUUUCAUCAAUAGUCUUCAGCUGUUCUGCUAAUGGGAUAGUGAAAUUAAAACCAAACGGGUACCUGAAAAUUUCUUCCCGGGGAUAAGAAUUGCAGCAGAAAUCAAAUGGGGGAUACGAAAUUCAGUAUCAAAAGUGCUCUUAGUUUUAUUUUCUUUAAUAAUAAUUUGAUAGAAAAAGAUGAAAUUAGAACAGCAAGAUAUCUUUGAUCAACAAGCAGUACAAAUAAACAUACUUUCACUGGAAAUCAAAAUUCAAAAGUCAAAACAUUAUAAAGAAAACAAAGUCUUCCUUUUACUGUAUGGCCUACUAUCUUGCUAGGGGAGUUGAUUCAGUAAUCAUUUCAAUGGAAGCUAUUGGUUCACUCCUAGAAUGUCCCUUCCUCUUUUCAGUUCUUUCUGUUGCUAAGCAUUCAUUUAGUUCUGUCACUACUUGAUGCAUAGUUGGCCUGCCAGCAGAAAUUGGGGUUGUACAGGCCAUUGCUAUUUCUACUGCUUUCCAGACAGAAUUAUUGUCGAAAUCUCCACCUAACCUUGGAUCAACAACAUUUUUAAUGUCCCCGUUUGCGAGCAGAGAACUAACCCAUUGACGCAGAUGAAUAUUCCUCUCACCUCCUCCUGCAAUCACUGGCCUUCCUGUGAUUAUCUUUAAGAGAACAACCCCGAAGCUAUACACAUCACUUUUCUCUGUUAGCCAGUUUGUCACAGAAUACCUACAAGCCCAAAUUUGGAACUCAAGGCAUAUAAAUUUUCAGUUUCCUAUAGACCAUGAAAUUCUUUUACUUGAACAGAUAAACCAUUUCAUUUUAUUUGAUAUAGACUACUCACUCAGGAUCAAGGUAGCCAGGGGUGCCAGCAACAACUGUUGUUACAUGAGUGCCACCUUCAACCGGGAAAGAUCUGGACAGUCCAAAAUCAGCAAGUCUUGCUUGGAAAUUGUCAUUUAAUAAAAUGUUUGAUGUCUUCACAUCCCUGUGCACAAUUGGUGGUUUGCUUCCAUUGUGCAGAUAUUCCCAUCCUACAUUCUGAUUCCAUCAAUACCUUGUGGCCAUAAAUUAUAAAAGAUAGAGUGGAAGCAAAAUUAUGGAAGAUAGUUGUCUCCAGUCCAGCUAACCUUUUGCUGCUUCAACUACUAUGUUUAGUCUCCUCUCCCAUGUCAAUAUAUAUUUGUUUGAACCUGCAUCUGUGCAGAAGCUGUUUCAAAUUUCUGGUAGUGGUUGUUUACUGGAAAAUAGACUUACCUUUGCUAUUGAGUCUGAAAUUAUUUCUGAUUAAAACUAACCUGACAAAAAUUUUUCUAAAUCUCCAUUAACCAUGUACUCAUAGAUGAGUCCCCUGUUGGUGCCUUCGUCACAGAACCCAACAAGUGUUGUCAAGUUUCGGUGAUGAACUCGCAAAAGAAGGUUGACCUCUGCCUGAAACUGCCUAUACCCCUGGACUGAUGAUGGAGAGAGCAUCUUCACAGCUACUUGAGUGUCAUCAUCUAAGUAGCCAUGGU